rnacentral:rRNA from 1 species
CCUACGGGUGGCAGCAGUAGGGAAUAUUGCACAAUGGGCGAAAGCCUGAUGCAGCAACGCCGCGUGCGCGAUGAAGGCCUUCGGGUCGUAAAGCGCUUUUCGGGGAGAUGAGGAAGGACAGUAUCCCCGGAAUAAGUCUCGGCUAACUACGUGCCAGCAGCCGCGGUAAAACGUAGGAGGCAAGCGUUAUCCGAAUUUACUGGGCGUAAAGCGCGUGCAGGCGGUUCGGUAAGUUGGAUGUGAAAUCUCCUGGCUCAACUGGGAGAGGUCGUUCAAUACUGUCGGACUAGAGGAUGGCAGAGGGAGGUGGAAUUCCCGGUGUAGUGGUGAAAUGCGUAGAUAUCGGGAGGAACACCAGUGGCGAGGGCGGCCCCCUGGACCAUUCCUGACGCUCAGACGCGAAAGCUAGGGGAGCGAACGGGAUUAGAUACCCCUGUAGU